rnacentral:rRNA from 1 species
GAUGAACGCUAGCUACAGGCUUAACACAUGCAAGUCGAGGGGAAACGACAUCGAAAGCUUGCUUUUGAUGGGCGUCGACCGGCGCACGGGUGAGUAACGCGUAUCCAACCUGCCCACCACUUGGGGAUAACCUUGCGAAAGUAAGACUAAUACCCAAUGACGUCUCUAGAAGACAUCUGAAAGAGAUUAGAGAUUUAUCGGUGAUGGAUGGGGAUGCGUCUGAUUAGCUUGUUGGCGGGGUAACGGCCCACCAAGGCGACGAUCAGUAGGGGUUCUGAGAGGAAGGUCCCCCGCAUUGGAACUGAGACACGGUCCAAACUCCUAAGGGAGGCAGCAGUGAGGAAGAUUGGUCAAUGGGCGAGAGCCUGAACCAGCCAAGUAGCGUGCAGGAUGACGGCCCUAUGGGUUGUAAACUGCUUUUAUAAGGGAAUAAAGUGAGUCUCGUGAGACUUUUUGCAUGUACCUUAUGAAUAAGGACCGGCUAAUUCCGUGCCAGCCGCCGCAGUAA